CCUACGAGAGGCAGCAGUGGGGAAUAUUGGGCAAUGGGCGCAAGCCUGACCCAGCAACGCCGCGUGAAGGAAGAAGGCUUUCGGGUUGUAAACUUCUUUUCUCAGGGACGAAGCAAGUGACGGUACCUGAGGAAUAAGCCACGGCUAACUACGUGCCAGCAGCCGCGGUAAUACGUAGGUGGCAAGCGUUAUCCGGAUUUACUGGGUGUAAAGGGCGUGUAGGCGGGGACGCAAGUCAGAUGUGAAAACCACGGGCUCAACCUGUGGGCUGCAUUUGAAACUGGGUUUCUUGAGUUCUGGAGAGGCAGAUGGAAUUCCUAGUGUAGCGGUGAAAUGCGUAGAUAGUAGGAGGAACACCAGUGGCGAAGGCGGUCUGCUGGACAGUAACUGACGCUGAGGUGCGAAAGCGUGGGGAGCAAACAGGAUUAGAUACCCGUGUAGUC
rnacentral:rRNA from 1 species